rnacentral:rRNA from 1 species
UACGGAGGGUGCGAGCGUUGUCCGGAAUCAUUGGGCGUAAAGGGCGCGUAGGUGGCUCGCCAAGCGGGCGGUGAAAACCCGGGGCUCAACCCCGGGCCUGCAUUCGAUACGGGCAGACUAGAGUUCGGUAGGGGAGUCUGGAAUUCCUGGUGUAGCGGUGAAAUGCGCAGAUAUCAGGAGGAACACCGGUGGCGAAGGCGGGACUCUGGGCCGAUACUGACGCUGAGGAGCGAAAGCGUGGGGAGCAAACAGG